rnacentral:rRNA from 1 species
AGUGAACGCUGGCGGUAGGCCUAACACAUGCAAGUCGAACGGCAGCACAGUAAGAGCUUGCUCUUACGGGUGGCGAGUGGCGGACGUGUGAGGAAUACAUCGGAAUCUACUUUUUCGUGGGGGAUAACGUAGGGAAACUUACGCUAAUACCGCAUACGACCUACGGGUGAAAGCAGGGGAUCUUCGGACCUUGCGCGAUUGAAUGAGCCGAUGUCGGAUUAGCUAGUUGGCGGGGUAAAGGCCCACCAAGGCGACGAUCCGUAGCUGGUCUGAGAGGAUGAUCAGCCACACUGGAACUGAGACACGGUCCAGACUCCUACGGGAGGCAGCAGUGGGGAAUAUUGGACAAUGGGCGCAAGCCUGAUCCAGCCAUACCGCGUGGGUGAAGAAGGCCUUCGGGUUGUAAAGCCCUUUUGUUGGGAAAGAAAAUCAGCAGGUUAAUACCCCGCUGUUCUGACGGUACCCAAAGAAUAAGCACCGGCUAACUUCGUG